rnacentral:piRNA from 1 species
ACCUAUGUAGGACACGGUUUGGGC